CUUGGGACAUUCGGAUCUGACUAAAAGGUCCAUGAGAGUCUCACAGGUAUGGGAAGCCAUGACACGGUGGCAAAAAACAAUCUAAAUGAAAGAUCCUGGUGAACAAGACCCCAGCAGAAGGAUCAGGCCAUCAAGGAGAGAGGCGCCUUUCUCUGAAGGGAGGAAGGAAGCUCCACUGUGAUACGGCCUUGACUAAACAAAUUCAGAGUUGGUGAACUCAAGGGGCUUCCAUAGCCUAGACAGCUCAUAGCAAGAGUCUUGGGUGAUUGCUGACAUCAUAAAUAAGAGUGCCAAUUGUUAAAUCAACAACAGGAGUCACUGGGUUCAUGCUCCCCACAUAGGAUCUCUGUCCUUAAUGUGUUCUACUAUGAAACUUAAAAACAACACUACUAGUCGAACAAUACCCUAUACCUUGUGCGGUUGUGUGAGUGCAGCCUGUUGAAAUCCCUGCUUAGUAUAUACUAAGUUGAUCUUCAGUAUAUGAAGGCCUGUUCUCAAAGUUCACCCCUUUAGGGUAUGGUGCUGGCUCUCCGGCUUCUUCAUCUGGUUUUAAGGUAAACCAAUGGAGGGACUCGGAGUUCUCCUACGUGAGGCAUAAGGGCCCAGGAGACUGAGAGGCAGAGAGGAUGCACCUGCCCAGGGUCACGCCACCAGUAAAUGGGAGAAACAAGCGACCACCUGUGUCUUCUUCCUGCAGAGACCUCAGUGCAAAGACAAAUUUGUCUCCAGUUCCCUCACCUCGCCAAAAAAAAACUCCACUAUCUUAAAAAAUGUAAAACUUUAAUACCACACACGCAUAUCAAAUCA